UUACGGACAUAUCACGGUGAAACAUUGGUUCCCAUAUGAUAACCAAAGUUAAGAAACGCCGAGUUUGGUUUGUACCUAGAUGGGCGACCGCUUGGGAAUGCCAGGUGU